GGACAAAAUAGGAAAAAUUUAACUUGCAAAGAUGAACUAGAAAAGAAGGGAAAGUUAGUGAGUUGGUGCUCGCAAGCGGAAGUUUUGAAGCAUCCUUCUGUUGGUUGUUUUCUGACUCAUUGUGGGUGGAAUUCCACCCUAGAAAGCAUAGCUUCUGGAGUUCCCGUUGUGGCAUGUCCAAUUUGGAACGAUCAACUUUGUAACGCGAAGCUUGUUCAAGAUGUUUGGAAGAAUGGCGUCAGAGUAAAUAUUGGUGAUAAAGGUAUUGCCGAAAGAGAUGAGUUUGAGAGGUGUAUAGAGAUCGUGAUGGGAAACAGCGAAGAAGGGGGUAAAUUGAGAAAUAAUGUCAAGAAAUGGAGCAACCUAGCUAAGGAAGCUAUGAAGAAAAAU
rnacentral:misc_RNA from 1 species